rnacentral:sRNA from 1 species
AGGAAAGAGGUUGGAGUGUCAGUUAUGAAGCCAGAACAGGUACAACAUGGGAAGCAGCAGUAGCUUCUGCCCACUGCCCUGCCUGCAUGCCUCAACACUGCCUCAGAGGCCACUGCUGGUGGUGGGAGGGGAGCUGGAGCUCCACGGCCCAUUCAGAUCUUGAUCCU